UUUAAACCUAGAGAGAUGAAGUGACUAAGUCAAGGUCACACAGUGUCGGGGAUGGAAUCCAGACCUUCUGAUUUCCUUACUGGUCAGUCCCUAGAACCAUACUGGGCACAAAGUGAAUGGACUUGCCCACAUCCUUGGAGAGUCAGUGAUGAGCCGUCUGGUACGUGACUGCAUGAGGUGUGAGGCUCAGCAGGCUCUGAUAUGGACUAAUUGAUGGUGAAUCAGCUGUUGGGUCAGACAUGGUCUUGUAACACGGUGGUUGAGAAUGUGACUUUGGAGCUAGCUCGCUCGGGCCUGAAUUCUGACUCAGCCAUUCAUUAACUGUGGGACCUUGGGGAGACCAGAUGGCAGUGGGUGCUGGCACAGAUCCAGGGAUCCUGGCCUAGCAGAGGAGACAAC